AGUUUUUGUGGACUGAGCUUUGUAGGUCUCUGCUAAAAAUUACUGGAGGAAGAACUGAGAGAGGGAGAGCAAAGGAAGGUUUCUGUUUAUAGGAUAGGAGAAGUAUUUCCUGCCCAGCUCUAACGCAGCUAUUCCACCAGUUUAGACACAAUUUCAGCUAUUUCCCAGUGAGGACAUCACAGUGAUGGUUACGACAGUGACAUCACUCCUGGAAUGGGAGGUAUUUCCCUCU
rnacentral:lncRNA from 1 species